AACGAACGCUGGCGGCGUGCUUAACACAUGCAAGUCGAGUGCGCGUGCCGUAGCAAUACGGCAUGGCGCACGGCGCACGGGUGCGUAACACGUGGGCAAUCUGCCCUCCGGUGGGGAAUAACCCCGCGAAAGCGGGGCUAAUUCCGCAUAACAUUCCCUGGACUCCGGUUCGGGGAUUCAAAGCAGUGAUGCGCCGGAGGAGGAGCCCGCGCCCGAUUAGCUAGUUGGUGAGGUAACGGCUCACCAAGGCAAUGAUCGGUAGCUGGUCUGAGAGGAUGGCCAGCCACACUGGAACUGAGACACGGUCCAGACUCCUACGGGAGGCAGCAGUGGGGAAUCUUGCGCAAUGGGCGAAAGCCUGACGCAGCGACGCCGCGUGGGGGAUGAAGCUUCUCGGAGUGUAAACCCCUUUCGACUGGGACGAAUGCCCGCAAGGGAGUGACGGUACCGGUAGAAGAAGCCCCGGCUAACUACGUGCCAGCAGCCGCGGUAAAACGUAGGGGGCCAGCGUUGUUCGGAAUUACUGGGUGUAAAGUGUUCGUAGGCGGUGUGGCAAGUCGGGAGUGAAAUU
rnacentral:rRNA from 1 species